rnacentral:sRNA from 1 species
AUUUUAACAAUAUUUAUAUUAUUUAUAUAUUCAUAAAAUAUAUUAUAUAUAAAA